rnacentral:rRNA from 1 species
CACGUAGGGGGCAAGCGUUGUCCGGAAUUACUGGGCGUAAAGCGCGCGCAGGCUGUUUGGUCAGCAGCGGGUGAAAUCACAGGGCUCAACUCUGUGGCUGCUCGCUGAACUGCCAGACUAGGGUUCGGGAGAGGGCAGUGGAAUUCCUGGUGUAGCGGUGGAAUGCGUAAAUAUCAGGAGGAACACCCGUGGCGAAAGCUGCUGCCUGGAACGAUACCGACGCUGAGGCGCGAAAGCUAGGGGAGCGAACGGGAUUAGA